rnacentral:rRNA from 1 species
CGCGUGAGGAACCUGCCUUCCAGAGGGGGACAACAGUUGGAAACGACUGCUAAUACCGCAUGACACAUGACCGUGGCAUCACGGACAUGUCAAAGAUUUAUCGCUGGAAGAUGGCCUCGCGUCUGAUUAGCUGGUAGGCGGGGUAACGGCCCACCUAGGCGACGAUCAGUAGCCGGACUGAGAGGUUGACCGGCCACAUUGGGACUGAGAUACGGCCCAGACUCCUACGGGAGGCAGCAG